rnacentral:SRP_RNA from 1 species
ACUGGGCGUCGUUGCGGGCGCCUGUGAGCCAGCUUCUAGGCAGUAGAGUGGUGUGGAUGGAGUGAGGGGAGGAGUCCCGCGGUAGUCGUUGGGUACGGCGACCGGGCGUCCGCGCCAAGCGUUGCGUCGCCAGGGGUCACCCGCCGGAAGGUGGGAGGUCCUGGGCGGUCAAGGAGGGGUGCACGGCUCAGGCCCGAAAGGGAGCAGGCAAAAGCCCCCGCGCGACNNUAUGUAUGUAUGUAUGUAUGUAUGUAUGUAUGUAUGUAUGUAUGUAUGUAUGUAUGUAUGUAU